AUAUGUAGUAGAAACUACCCACUAGAUGGAAACUUGGAAACUAGCAUCCUGGGUCAUCUGAUAAGCAGCGUGCGGCGUAAGAUCAGAUUAAACAGUGACGAGGUACUUUUGCAAUUCAACGCCCGCUCCGCUCGGUCCAUUUUAUGAUUAGCCCCUUGCACUAUCCCAGUCUUGAAUCGAGCGAUCUCCUGAAUAGAUCCCCUUAUCCUUCCCAUCGAUGCGAGCGUCGGCGAUGCUCCACGGGGCCAAGGUGGCGCUCGCCGCGCUCCUCGCCGCCUCACCGGCCGGCAGCCUUCUACCUCCCCGGCAUUGCGCCCAUCGAGAUUUGAGUCUGUUCUUCACCACAAUCGCAAGUAUGCCAUGGCUGGGCCGCGAGUACCUAGUCACCAGGCGGCCGGUGCACAACAUCCUCACUUCAAUCGAUCCCCAUGGUUUAAUUCUGUGCUCUCAUUAUUUAAAAUAACAGCAGAUGGUAUGCUACUUGCUCGUAUUUCUUUUCUGAAAUUGCCUGCGUUUUGUAAGUACUCUAUUGGAACAUAUAAGAGCUCUGCAAUUUGUGAUGUAUAUGCUUGAUGGUGGAGUUGCGGUCCUAUUCUGUACAAUUGAUGGAGUUGGUUCUUGUUAUUUUGAAGUUGAUUGAGUCCUCACAUGGUGCAAUUUAUGUCCUUGGUUCUGACAUUAGCCUAAAGCCUGAUAUUGGCAUGGUAUUCAGUAGUUUGCAGGAAGGUGAAGGCUAUUGCAGAUCCUAUGCUUACCCUGCCUCUUUUUGCAUUUGCCACACUGAAAAUCAGGUUUUCAACAUAUUUUGAUCGAACUAGGUGAAAAAAUUGCUACUGUUGCUUCUGUGGAGUAUCCAAGUUCCUUUGGGCUGCUUACUCGCUACUGUACUUAGCAGAUUUUGGCAAGUUCAAUAGGGAAGGAUAAUUGAAGAAUAAUGCGUGCUGCACUACUGCUCGAUAAGUUGGACGAUGACCAUUCUUGUGCACUUGCUAAAAGUAGUAGUCAGAACGGCAUGCACGCUUGAUUAUUUGUAUGCACUGUGUGCUGCCCAAAGGUUGCAUAAACACCAUGUGUAAUAUUAAUCCUCUAGUCUCCUAUCUUUUGAAC